UGGUAAUUCUAUGUUUAAGCAUUUAAGGAACUGCCAGACUGUCUUGCAAAGUGGCUGCAUCAUUUUACAUUCCCACAGACACUUGAUAUUAUGUGGCUUUUGGAUGAAAACCACCCUAGGGGGUGUAGAGUGGUAUCUCAUUAUAGUUUUGAUUUACAUUUUCCCUAUGGCUACUGAUGUUGAGCCUCUGUGUGUGCUUAUUGGGCUGUGUGGCAUUUUUGUGAUAAACCUUACAGUUUAUUUCCCACCUAUAACAUGAAGAUGCCAGUAUCUAUUGUAUAAUAACAAACACUUAUAAUAAUAGCCGCUAAUGGUAAGGUAGGCAGUUUAUGCUCAUAGAAUGAAAUGAAAAUGUACUUAUCAAAUCUGUAACACACUUUCUGGCACACAAUAGAUUAUCUGUAAAGAUUUUGUCAGUUCAUCCAUCUUAACAAUUGAAUGUGCUUAUUUUGUGCUAAUUAAUGUGAAUAUGCAAAUAAGACAGGGCCCACCAUCUUCAAGGAAUUUAAGGAUGGUGGGAAAAGGUGCAUAAGCACUCAGUUUCAGUUUAUCGAAUAGAAUUACAUAUAGUGGAAGACUUAAAAAGAUGUAUCCAGUCCAGCCUUGGGGCAAGGAGAAGGGCUUAGGGGAGGUUCCUUAGAGAAAGUGAGACCCAGGCUGAAUACAAAAGGAGGGGUCAGGAUGAUUAAAUCUCUGGGCAAGGAUUUUUUUUUUUUUUUUAAUUUGCUGCUAUUUUUCUAGUGCCCAGCACAGUGCUCAGGUCAUAGUAGUUGUCCAGUUAGUGUUUGUGGAAUAAAUAAAUAAGAAUAUGAAGUGACAUAGCAUGCCAGGGCCAAUAGCUGUUCGGUGUUUUUGAGGGGUGAGUUGGAGUGUGAGGGAGUUGUGGUCAGAGAUGAGUCUGAAGAAGUAGGUGGGCCCUGCAGUGCCACGUGCCUUGAGUGUUCUGCUGUGGAGCUGAGACGUUGACCUGUAGAUUCAUGGUAGCAAUUACAGGGGGGUAACUGGGAUUAACAUGGUCAAAUGUGUUUUAGGAAUCAACCUUGGGAUGAUAUUGAGAAUGGAAGGGAGUGGGGAGACACCUGAAAUAAGAAUACCAGUUAGGACUGUGUGUAGUAGUUCAGAUAAGAGAUGAAGAUAGCCUGGAUCAAGGACAUGGUAAUAAGAAUUGAAAGGAAAAAUGGAUUUAAGAACUACUACAGAUAUACAAUUAAUAGAAUUGAUCAGAUAUCUGAGAAAGAGAUGGGAAGAGGGAAGAAAGAUUCUGAGGUAUUUGGCUUAUGAAGGUAGAAGGGUGGUGAUACCACUACUCUAGCAAACGCGGGAGGUGGUGAUACCACUACUCUAGGGAACACGGGAGGAAGUGAUAUCGCGGGAGGUGGUGAUACCACUACUCUAGGGAACACGGGAGGAAGUGAUAUCGCGGGAGGUGGUGAUACCACUACUCUAGGGAACACGGGAGGAAGUGAUAUCGCGGGAGGUGGUGAUACCACUACUCUAGGGAACACGGGAGGAAGUGAUAUCGCGGGAGGUGGUGAUACCACUACUCUAGGGAACACAGGAGGAGGAGCACAUUUAUGGGGCAGUUGAUGCAUUGUGUUUAUGUGGUGCCUGUGGUAACUGGAAAUAUUCUGAAAUUCAGAUGAGAGGUUAGACAAGAGUGAUUAAGUGUGUCAGCAUCAGCUGGUAGAUGGUAGUUGAAACCAUGAGAGGAUGAAAUUAGCCAGGGAAAAUAUGUAGUAUGGGGUAGUCACGGGAGAUAGCAUCAUAGAAUGGGCUAGACAUGGACUUAAGUCAGACUGCCUAAACUCAGAUCUUGGUUCCAUCAUUUGCUAGUAAUCUUGGGCAAGUUAAAUACCUUUUGUGUCUUUACCUAUAAACUGGAGAUAAAGUUCCUAUCUUUUUAAGGUUUUUGAAAAGAAUGACUUGAGCACUGUGUUUAGCACAUGGGAAGAUCUCAGAAAAUGUUACUGUGUUGGUAGUGGCAGUAGAAGUAGAGUGAAGGAACAAUGGGUGAUUCUAUGAGCUUCAAUUUUCCUUACCUUUAAAAUGAAGAGUGGCUGGGUGCAGUGGCUCACACCUGUAAUUCCAGCACUUCGGAAGGCUGAGGUGAAUUGCUUGAGUCCAAAAGUUGGAGACUAACUUGGUUAACAUAGUGAAACCCUGUCUUAAUUUAUAGUAACAAAUCUUUUUUUGAAUAAAGUAAAAUGAGAGUGGUGGUUGCCACGGUCAUUUCUGUAGGUGGUACUCUGUAGGUCAAGCUAAAUUAGGUUUUUUUUUUUUUUUGGGUGGGGGCUAAUGCAAAAU